GACGAACGCUGGCGGCGUGCUUAACACAUGCAAGUCGAACGAAGUGGCGAACGGGUGAGUAACGCGUAAUCAACCUGCCCUUCAGAGGGGGACAACAGUUGGAAACGACUGCUAAUACCGCAUACUGAAGGAGGGGAUUGCGUGUGAUUAGCUAGUUGGGGGGGUAACGGCCCACCAAGGCGAUGAUCAGUAGCCGGUCUGAGAGGAUGAACGGCCACAUUGGGACUGGAACACGGCCCAGACUCCUACGGGAGGCAGCAAGUGGGAAACUUCCGCAAUGGGCGGAAAUCUGACGGCGCAACGCCGCGUGGGUGGUGACGGCCUUCGGGUUGUAAAGCUCUGUUAAUCGGGACGCGGUACCGGAAUAGAAAGCCACGGCUAACUACGUGCCAGCAGCCGCGGUAAUUC
rnacentral:rRNA from 1 species